rnacentral:rRNA from 1 species
UUUGAAGAGCUUGCUCAGAUAUGACGAUGGACAUUGCAAAGAGUGGCGAACGGGUGAGUAACACGUGGGAAACCUACCUCUUAGCAGGGGAUAACAUUUGGAAACAGAUGCUAAUACCGUAUAACAAUAGCAACCGCAUGGUUGCUACUUAAAAGAUGGUUCUGCUAUCACUAAGAGAUGGUCCCGCGGUGCAUUAGUUAGUUGGUGAGGUAAUGGCUCACCAAGACGAUGAUGCAUAGCCAAGUUGAGAGACUGAUCGGCCACAAUGGGACUGAGACACGGCCCAUACUCCUACGGGAGGCAGCAGUAGGGAAUCUUCCACAAUGGGCGAAAGCCUGAUGGAGCAACGCCGCGUGUGUGAUGAAGGGUUUCGGCUCGUAAAACACUGUUGUAAGAGAAGAAUGACAUUGAGAGUAACUGUUCAAUGUGUGACGGUAUCUUACCAGAAAGGAACGGCUAAAUACGUGCCAGCAGCCGCGGUAAUACGUAUGUUCCAAGCGUUAUCCGGAUUUAUUGGGCGUAAAGCGAGCGCAGACGGUUAUUUAAGUCUGAAGUGAAAGCCCUCAGCUCAACUGAGGAAUUGCUUUGGAAACUGGAUGACUUGAGUGCAGUAGAGGAAAGUGGAACUCCAUGUGUAGCGGUGAAAUGCGUAGAUAUAUGGAAGAACACCAGUGGCGAAGGCGGCUUUCUGGACUGUAACUGACGUUGAGGCUCGAAAGUGUGGGUAGC